rnacentral:piRNA from 1 species
UAGACGCAUGGGUGCUGUGAUAGCCAUGGAU